rnacentral:rRNA from 1 species
CAAUAGCGUAUAUUAAAGUUGUUGCAGUUAAAAAGCUCGUAGUUGAAUUUCUGGUCGGAAGCUCCUGUCCUCUGAUGAGCGUACAAGUGCGUCCUACCAUCCUUCUGUUAACCUUUAAGGCUUUCGCGGCUUUCUAGGGGCUCAGAUAUUUUACCUUGAGAAAAUUAGAGUGUUUCAGGCAGGCUAGCGCCGGAAUACAUUAGCAUGGAAUAAUGGAAUAGGACUUUUGCCUCUUCUGUUGGUCAUGAGGCUCGAGUAAUGAUUAAUAGGGAUAGUUGGGGGCAUUAGUACUUAACUGUCAGAGGUGAAAUUCUCGGAUUUGUUAAAGACUAACUUAUGCGAAAGCAUUUGCCAAGGAUGUUUUCAUUAA